AAGGGGUGGGCAAGUUCUGGUGUCAGCCGCCGCGGUAAAACCAGCACCUCGAGUGGUCAGGAGGUUUAUGGGCCUAAAGCAUCCGUAGCCGGUUGCAUAANNUUUCGGUUAAAUCUAUGCGCUUAACGUAUAGGCCGCCGAAAAUACUGNNNNGCUAGGGAGUGGGAGAGGUACACGGUACUCGAUAGGAAGGGGUAAAAUCCUUUGAUCUAUUGAUGACCACCUGUGGCGAAGGCGGUGUACCAGAACACGUUCGACGGUGAGGGAUGAAAGCUGGGGGAGCAAACCGGAUUAGAUACCCGGGUAGUCCCAGCUGUAAACGAUGCAGACUCGGUGAUGCAUUGGCUUGUGGCCAAUGCAGUGCCGCAGGGAAGCCGUUAAGUCUGCCGCCUGGGAAGUACGUACGCAAGUAUGAAACUUAAANNNNNUGGCGGGGGAGCACCACAAGGGGUGAAGCCUGCGGUUCAAUUGGAGUCAACGCCAGAAAUCUUACCUGGGGAGACAGCAGAAUGAAGGUCAAGCUGAAGACUUUACCAGACACGCUGAGAGNNNNNNNAUGGCCGUCGCCAGCUCGUGCCGUGAGAUGUCCUGUUAAGUCAGGUAACGAGCGAGACCCCUGCGUCUAGUUGCUACCAUUACUCU
rnacentral:rRNA from 1 species